CCCCAGCGCCACAAGUGGUUAUCACGAUUAUUGGGCCUAAAGCGUUCGUAGCUGGUUUGGUAAAUCUCUUGUGAAAUUGUUCGGCUUAACCGGACAGCGUGCAGGAGGGACUGCCAAACUCGAGACCGGGAGGCGUAUGAAGUAUUCCAUGGGGACUGGUAAAAUGGGAUAAUCCAUGGAAGACUACCGAUGGCGAAGGCAUCAUACGAGAACGGAUCUGACAGUGAGGAACGAAAGCCAGGGGAGCGAACCGG
rnacentral:rRNA from 1 species